rnacentral:rRNA from 1 species
GAUGAACGCUGGCGGCGUGCCUAAUGCAUGCAAGUCGAGCGAACAGACGAGGAGCUUGCUCCUCUGACGUUAGCGGCGGACGGGUGAGUAACACGUGGAUAACCUACCUAUAAGACUGGGAUAACUUCGGGAAACCGUAGCUAAUACCGUAUAAUAUAUUGAACCGCAUGGUUCAAUAGUGAAAGACGGUUUUGCUGUCACAUAUAGAUGGAUCCGCGCCGCAUUAGUUAGUUGGUAAGGUAACGGCUUACCAAGGCAACGAUGCGUAGCCGACGUGAGAGGGUGAUCGGCCACACUGGAACUGAGACACGGUCCAGACUACUACGGGAGGCAGCAGUAGGGAAUCUUCCGCAAUGAGCGAAAGCCUGACGGAGCAACGCCGCGUGAGUGAUGAAGGUCUUCGGAUCGUAAAACUCUGUUAUUAGGGAAGAACAAAUGUGUAAGUAACUAUGCACGUCUUGACGGUACCUACCCAGAAAGCCACGGCUAACUACGUG